GACUGGGUUUGUGCUCUGCUCCUUGUUUGUGUUAACCUUGUUAUACACACCAGUGAAGAACUGGGAGAAGGCUGGGACUGGAAAGUGAAUUGGAACCCAGAGACAACUCAUCAGGGAUCAACUAAAUAUCGGCGGUUGUUAAUCCUCUGAGGCCUGCAACUGAUUUCAUGCAUUUUCUGUCAUUGCUUCAAGUAGAGAUAAUCAUUGCAUUCUGCCAUGCUGAGAGGAAGGAGUUGCGCUGAGAUCAAUUCUGCUGAUCAAUGUUCUAAUACAAUAUUAUUCUGUGGGACAAUUUCAGCAUUUAACAUUUUCUGGUUGGGAAUAGUGGAGAAGUUUGUACCUAAGAUCCCUGGUCCUUCCAGCUUUCCUGCCCAUCUGUGGAGCAGCAGCCAAACCUACCAGAAGAAGAGAAAGCGCAACCUGGCCUAUCAAACUACCUGUGAGGGCAGCUGACACCAAACCACACCCAGCACAGAGGCAGGAAUAUCCACUCCUGGGUAACUCUGCCUGCAGUCUGAGCUCUCCUGGGAGUUGUGCUGGAACCGAAAAUGAGCUGCCAGGUGUGAAAUACAGAGCUGCAAAUGAGCUAAAAGUGGUAAAUCACAAACAUUUCCAUCACAGAAGGACUGGAGGAACACUCAGUGCCCUGCAGGUGAGGAAGGUGAGAAGUAAAUGACAGCUGGACAGGUGAGAGGUGUGGCAGAACUGGGUGAAACAACUGCUGCGGGAUAUUUCCAGCCUCAUCAGAGAAACUCCACCAGUACAGUACCACUGCUCUGCUUCAUGCCACAGCCACCUCUGCUUUCCUCCUGUGACUGUAGCAAUCCAAGAGACCAGGAAUUUACAGUUCCAACACUGGCUGAGGAGUUGUUUGAUUUAAACAGUGAGACAAGAAGCACAUGGGAAAAUGUCAAAGAAAAUGAGCCAUUAUCAGAAAAAAACCCUCACACAUUUAUAAUUGGAAACAUUUAUAAAUGGAAAUCACCUCAAAAUCACAGCACUUGCACAUUUUGCUACAGGUUACCCACUCAGGGCAUGGAGUGAAUUUCUUUGUGUACAAAUUCCAUCAGCCUGUGAUAUAUUUAUUUUUAAAUCUGGUAGCCUUGCUACAUGUCCAUAGUUCUCUGAUUACUGACUUGCCCUGAAUUGUGGGUCUCAUGCCAAGAAAAUUCUAUUUUCUGACAGCAAAUGACACAGCUCCACUGCUGAUUGAUUUUCAUAGGUACAGAGUGUGUGCUGUGUAUUGGUGAGGAUGGAGGCAUCAAAAUGUUGCUCCUAAAAGAUCAAAAGUAGAUGGAUGAAGACAUCUGGACUGCAUGACACUUCUGGCUGCCUUUGCCAGGCAAUGCAACACUUAAUAAAACCAAAUUACACAGAUGUUCCUAGAAAACUUUUAGUCCUGUAGCAAAUCAAAUAAACUAUUGAUGCUUCCAACAAAAUCUUCCUUCAUUCUUAUUCCAAAAUUUAUCAAGUCAAUCUAACCACAAUCCUUUCUUUGUUUCUCACCAAAACAAGAGGAACAUGAACAAAUUUCUAAAGGCAAACCUGUCCUUGAGGCCAUGCACAGGCCCCAGAGGGCCAACACACUUCAGAUUUCAUUUCAAACCAAGGCCCACAAUGCAAGCAGAGGUGACCCUGCUGAAAUCAAGGACACACUGUGCUCUGUUUGAAGAUCACGCUUGUGUAUAAGCUACACUAACGUUCCUGGGGAUGGAAUAUUUAAA